rnacentral:rRNA from 1 species
AUCGAUGAAGAACGCAGCGAAAUGCGAUAAGUAAUGUGAAUUGCAGAAUUUAGUGAAUCAUCGAAUCUUUGAACGCACAUUGCGCCCCUUGGUAUUCCGAGGGGCAUGCCUGUUCGAGCGUCAUUUAAACCAAUCCAGCUUGCUGGGUGUUGGGCUUUCGCCUCUGGGCGGGCCUUAAAAUCAGUGGCGGUGCUGCCAGGCUCUAAGCGUAGUAAUUCUUCUCGCUACAGGGUCCUGGUGGAGGCUUGCCAACAACCCCAAAUUUUCAAAGGUUGACCUCGGAUCAGGUAGGGAUACCCGCUGAACUUAAGCAUAUCAAUAAGCGGAGGAAAAGAAACCAACAGGGAUUACCUCAGUAACGGCGAGUGAAGCGGUAACAGCUCAAAUUUGAAAUCUGGCUCUUUCAGGGUCCGAGUUGUAAUUUGUAGAAGAUGCUUCGGGUGUGGCUCCGGUCUAAGUUCCUUGGAACAGGACGUCAUAGAGGGUGAGAAUCCCGUAUGUGACUGGUUGCCUUCGCCCAUGUGAAGCUCUUUCGACGAGUCGAGUUGUUUGGGAAUGCAGCUCUAAAUGGGUGGUAAAUUUCAUCUAAAGCUAAAUAUUGGCCAGAGACCGAUAGCGCACAAGUAGAGUGAUCGAAAGAUGAAAAGCACUUUGGAAAGAGAGUUAAACAGUACGUGAAAUUGUUGAAAGGGAAGCGCUUGCAACCAGACUUGCACGCCGUCGAUCAUCUCAGGUUCUCCUGGGUGCACUCGGCGGUGUUCAGGCCAGCAUCGGUUUCGGUGGUUGGAUAAAGGCCUUGGGAAUGUGGCUCCUCUCGGGGAGUGUUAUAGCCCUCGGUGCAAUGCAGCCUACCGGGACCGAGGACCGCGCUUCGGCUAGGAUGCUGGCGUAAUGGUUGUAAGCGACCCGUCUUGAAACACGG